rnacentral:rRNA from 1 species
UACGAAGGGGGCUAGCGUUGUUCGGAAUCACUGGGCGUGAAGGGCGCGUAGGCGGCUUUUAUAAGUCGGGGGUGAAAGCCUGUGGCUCAACCACAGAAUUGCCUUCGAUACUGUAGAGCUUGAGACCGGAAGAGGUAAGUGGAACUGCGAGUGUAGAGGUGAAAUUCGUAGAUAUUCGCAAGAACACCAGUGGCGAAGGCGGCUUACUGGUCCGGUUCUGACGCUGAGGCGCGAAAGCGUGGGGAGCAAACAGG